GACGAACGCUGGCGGCGUGCUUAACACAUGCAAGUCGAACGAAGAGCGAUGGAAGCUUGCUUCUAUCAAUCUUAGUGGCGAACGGGUGAGUAACGCGUAAUCAACCUGCCCUUCAGAGGGGGACAACAGUUGGAAACGACUGCUAAUACCGCAUACGAUCUAAUCUCGGCAUCGAGGAAAGAUGAAAGGUGGCCUCUAUUUAUAAGCUAUCACUGAAGGAGGGGAUUGCGUCUGAUUAGCUAGUUGGAGGGGUAACGGCCCACCAAGGCGAUGAUCAGUAGCCGGUCUGAGAGGAUGAACGGCCACAUUGGGACUGAGACACGGCCCAGACUCCUACGGGAGGCAGCAGUGGGGAAUCUUCCGCAAUGGACGAAAGUCUGACGGAGCAACGCCGCGUGAGUGAUGACGGCCUUCGGGUUGUAAAGCUCUGUUAAUCGGGACGAAAGGCCUUCUUGCGAACAGUUAGAAGGAUUGAC
rnacentral:rRNA from 1 species